GAUGAACGCUAGCGAUAGGCUUAACACAUGCAAGUCGAGGGGCAGCGAUGGUAGCAAUACCUGUCGGCGACCGGCGCACGGGUGAGUAACGCGUAUGUAACCUGCCCGCAACAGAGGGAUAACCCGGCGAAAGUCGGACUAAUACCUCAUAAAACAGGGGUUCCGCAUGGGGCUAUUUGUUAAAGAUUUAUUGGUUGCGGAUGGGCAUGCGUACCAUUAGGUAGUUGGUGAGGUAACGGCUCACCAAGCCGUCGAUGGUUAGGGGUUCUGAGAGGAAGGUCCCCCACACUGGUACUGAGACACGGACCAGACUCCUACGGGAGGCAGCAGUGAGGAAUAUUGGUCAAUGGGCGAGAGCCUGAACCAGCCAAGUCGCGUGAAGGAUGACUGCCCUAUGGGUUGUAAACUUCUUUUACAGGGGAAUAAAAUGAGAUACGUGUAUUUUAUUGCAUGUACCUUGUGAAUAAGCAUCGGCUAACUCCGUGCCAGCAGCCGCGGUAAUACGGAGGAUGCGAGCGUAUCCGGAUUUAUUGGGUUUAAAGGGUGCGUAGGUGGGCUGUUAAGUCCGCGGUGAAAGUUUGUCGCUUAACGAUAAAAUUGCCGUUGAAACUGGUAGUCUUGAGUAUAGAUGAAGUAGGCGGAAUGCGUGGUGUAGCGGUGAAAUGCAUAGAGAUCACGCAGAACUCCGAUUGCGAAGGCAGCUUACUAAGGUAUAACUGACACUGAAGCACGAAAGCGUGGGUAUCAAACAGGAUUAGAUACCCUGGUAGUCCACGCAGUAAACGAUGAUACUAGGAGUUUGCGAUAUAGUGUAAGCUCUACAGCGAAAGCGUUAAGUAAUCCACCUGGGGAGUACGCCGGCAACGGUGAAACUCAAAGGAAUUGACGGGGGCCCGCGCAAGCGGAGGAACAUGUGGUUUAAUUCGAUGAUACGCGAGGAACCUUACCCGGGGAUUGAAAUG
rnacentral:rRNA from 1 species